AGCAGCUGCCAGCCACGGCUCCGCCGGCCCCGCACCCGGGCGCGGCCAGGCCGUGAGGGGUGCGCUCUGCCUCUCUGAGCCCAGCCUGCCGGCCGGCCCGCUCACCUUGUGGCUCUGGUAAGUCUCGAGCGCCCGGAUCGCCGUCUCGGUGAGCUUCACAUGCAGUACGGUGAUGUUGUCCUGCCCCAGCCGUCCGCACGACAGCCCAUAGCGCUGCUCCUCCCGCAGGCCCCCUGUCCCCCCCGCCGCCAUCUUAAACUCCCCGGGGUGCCGCCGCCGCCGCCGCUCCGGCUCUAGCCUCCACUGCGGCCGCGGCUGCUUGGGCUUCUGCAGCCGCCGCCACUGCUAGGGCCAUCCCGCUGCUGACGUACUGUCAUAUACUGCGCGGAGCCAGACCUCGGACUGCCACCGCCG
rnacentral:lncRNA from 10 species